rnacentral:rRNA from 1 species
AUACGGAGGGGGCUAGCGUUGUUCGGAAUUACUGGGCGUAAAGCGCGCGUAGGCGGCUUGGUAAGUCGGAUGUGAAAGCCCUGGGCUCAACCUGGGAAUUGCAUUCGAUACUGCCGAGCUAGAGUAUGGUAGAGGGAAGUGGAAUUUCCGGUGUAGCGGUGAAAUGCGUAGAUAUCGGAAGGAACACCAGUGGCGAAGGCGACUUCCUGGGCCAAUACUGACGCUGAGGUGCGAAAGCGUGGGGAGCAAACAGGAUUAGAAACCCCAGUAGUCC